AUUUAUAUAGUUUAAGGUAAAACGUUACAUUUUCACUGUAGAAAUAAAGAAAACUUUUAUAAAUA
rnacentral:tRNA from 1 species